AUAUAUGCCGUCCAUCUCUGUAUGUGCAUCAUUCCAUCUCAGAAUAUGUGUCACCUAAGAAGUCUGCUUGAUACCAUUGAUGACCAUGACUUCCUGUUUUCAGAAAGUAUUAAUAAGUAACAAACCCUCAGCAGUAUAUCAGUACCAAGAAGGAAGGAAGCAAAAAAGCUGUCACAAAUGCUCCUCAGCCUGAAUGAAGAAGGUAGAAAAAUAUAAGAAGAAAGAAGAUGCAGCAGUAAUAAGAAUUAAAGAAGUAAAAAAGGCCUGUUCUAUUGUGGAUCCUUGUAAUUUCUUGAUUUACGACAUGUUCCUUGAAACUCACCAUUCUGCAACGUAAUUCUUCCCUUCAGAAGAACAGAAAGGGCCUCCUAAAGGCCAAUUUGGAUACAUUCCCUUGAACUGACAGACAAGAAGUAGCUUCAUUUUCUUCUGCUACUUGAGAUCCUGAAUGGUAGAAACACCCAGCUUAAAAUACUGCAGUUCUCUGAGACCUUCAGGGGUGAAGCUUUUUAGCAAAUUUUGCAUUUCAGGCAGGUACCUGCAGUAAUUGCUACCUCUCUACUAAUAAUCCAGCCACAAGAAUGAGAAGUGAAAAGCAGGACAUGUUCUGCAGCUGGCAUCAAAGGAUACAAAAAACAUUCUGACCAAUAUCAUUUAACAAAGAUCAUUCAGCAUUGUGUUGCAUAAAUUAAUCAUGUAUUAUAAUUCAUUUUGGAAGGUCUUUAAAUUGGCACCUUUGGGCUGCUGACAGAUGUGGGGGGAAAAAACAGCCCUUACGGGAAGAGGAACUGCAUUAGUUUGACCCAG